rnacentral:rRNA from 1 species
CUCCCAGACUCCUACGGGAGGCAGCAGUUGGGAAUAUUGGACAAUGGGGGAAACCCUGAUCCAGUGACGCCGCGUGAAGGAAGAAGGUCUUCGGAUUGUAAACUUAUUUUAUCAGGGAAGAAAAAAAUGACUGUACCUGAAGAAGAAGCCCCGGCUAACUACGUGCCAGCAGCCGCGGUAAUACGUAGGGGGCAAGCGUUAUCCGGAAUUACUGGGUGUAAAGGGUGAGUAGGCGGCACUGUAAGUAAGAUGUGAAAGCCUUAGACUUAACCUGAGGAUUGCAUUAUAAACUGCAGAGCUAGAGUGCAGGAGAGGAAAGCGGAAUUCCUAGUGUAGCGGUGAAAUGCGUAGAUAUUAGGAAGAACACCAGUGGCGAAGGCGGCUUUCUGGACGGAAACUGACGCUGAGGCACGAAAGCGUGGGUAUCGAACAGGAUUAGAUACCCUCGUAU